rnacentral:rRNA from 1 species
GCUCAAAUUUGAAAUCUGGCCCCCCGCGGGCCCGAGUUGUACUUUGGAGAGGACGCUUCUGGCGCGGCGCCGUCCGAGUUCCCUGGAACGGGACGCCGGAGAGGGUGAGAGCCCCGUACGGGCGGCCGCCUAGCCUCUGCGAAGCUCCUUCGACGAGUCGAGUAGUUUGGGAAUGCUGCUCAAAAUGGGAGGUAAAUUUCUUCUAAAGCUAAAUACCGGCCAGAGACCGAUAGCGCACAAGUAGAGUGAUCGAAAGAUGAAAAGCACUUUGAAAAGAGGGUCAAACAGUACGUGAAAUUGUUGAAAGGGAAGCGCCUGUGGCCAGACUUGCGCCCCGCGGACCACCCGGCGCCUCGCGCGCCGGGGCACGCCAGCGGGGCGCAGGCCAGCAUCGGCUCUCUCGGGGGGACAAAGGCCGCGGGAACGUAGCGCCCUCGCGGCGUAUUAUAGCCCGCGGCGCCAUGCCCCCGGGGGGGCCGAGGACCGCGCUCCGGCAAGGAUGCUGGCGUAAUGGCCACCGGCGACCCGUCUUGAAACACGGACCAAGGAGUCAAGCAUUGGGGCGAGUGUCUGGGUGGCAAGCCCGCACGCGGAAUGAAAGUGAACGCAGGUGGGAGCUUCGGCGCACCACCGACCGAUCCUGAUGUCCUCGGAUGGAUUUGAGUAGGAGCCCCGCCGC